rnacentral:rRNA from 1 species
AUGGCUGCCGCCCCCUUCCCCAACUGGCUGAUGCUGGAGCGCUUCGUCUUCCGCAGGGACGACAAGGGCUCUUUCCCGGACGACACCAAGGCGCCCAUCCGGGCGUCCGGCACCACCUCCUGGAACGCUCGCUUCCAGUUCCACAUCGCCUUGUGCCUCGCCGAGCCCCCGCUCCCCUCCCGCCUCUACGCCCGGCUGCCGCGUUUUCCGGAUCCCAGGAAGCAGGCCCCCUUGGCCAUCCUGGCGACGCACCGCCAUCUCCUCCUGCUUCGCGUCGGUACCAAUAUCCCUGGACGAGGGCUGGUGCAGGACUUCCUCAUCUACAGCGCCUACGACCCUUCCUCGUUCAAAGCUCUGCCCCCUUGUACCGAGCCGUACACGGAUUAUACCCGCACCGGUGACAGCCUACCUCGUGGUCCUCCCCUAGAGAAGGGGAAGACGCGCCUGCUGACGGUCAAAUCCAUGGGCCUCUUGUGCCGAGGUGAAGGCGGGCAAGAGUUUGCGGUGGCAGAGCUCUGCGUUUUCAAGUCCGUCCACUUGAAGAUCUAUGCUGACAUCUGUUUGUUACGCUCCUCCACUUCAGCUGGCCCCGUACUGGGCGGCGAAUGGAACUCUAUGCGUCUACCAAUCAUUGGCAUCGACAAUGUCAAUGAUCCUCGGCAGCUCUGUUGCUGGGACACGGACACCAUCGUCCCCUUCAACCGCUCGCUUUGCUGGAUCGACUACCACCGAGGCAUGCUCAUCUACGACGUCUUCGCAGAGCAUCACCUUCCUCGCGUUCCCUCUUGA